UAUUGAGAAAUCAUCUCUGAAUUUUCCCCCCAGUUUUACUGAGAUAUAAUUGACAUCACUGUUUAAGGUGUACAGCACAAUGGUUUGACUUACAUCUUUGAUGGUGUCUUUGUGGCAGAAGAGGUUUUAAUUUUAUUGGAGUCCAGUUUAUCCAUGUUUAGUUGACUGUGUAGAUGGCAAGGGUCGCAGUUUGUUUUUUCUUUGCAUGUGGAGCUCCAGUUCUGUUGCCUCCAUUUGUUGAGGAUUGGGCAGGUACAUCUGAGCAGUGCAGGGGGCACAAGCGUGGGGCUGCCCCGCCAGCCAGUCGGACCGCAUGUGGUUGAACAGACUGGUGGGCAUGCUGGUGCUUCAUGGUGAUAGGAUGUGCUGAUUACCAAGGGCCUCCGUCUCCGGUCGUUCUCAAUUAUUUAACUUAUGACUGUGCUAGGUCUUUGGUGCUGCACCUAAACUUUCUCUAGUUGCCAGGAGCAGGGCCACGCUUCCUUGUGGUGGGUGGGCUUCUCCUUGGGCGACUUCUCUUGUUGCAGCUGGCAGAAUCCGUAGUUGUGGCUCCGGGGCUUAGUUGCCCCGAGGAAUGUGGGAUCCUCCUCCAUCAGGGAUCGAACCGUGAUCGCCGUAUUGGGGAUCUCAACCAAUGGACCACCAGGAAGUCCUGGUCCACACUUUUUGAAGAGACUUCUGGGGCUGGACUUUUCCUGGCGGCUCCCACUGGUACUACAACUCCCAGCAUGCAUAGGGCGGGCCAGCCUGCCGCGGCGGGGGAGGUUCCCGGCCCGUGUGGGCCUUUGGCUGGGAGGGAAGGGCUUCGCCGCAGGUUCCGGGUGUUUGAGGUCAACUUCCCAAGGCUUUGGCGGCCUCGACGGCUGAACAGCGGGACGGCGAGCCCUACGACCUCCCCCACUCAGACACGCCUCCCGCCUCUGGUCUGGCCCCUUCUUUCAAUUUCCCGCGAGGAGUAAGUAACCCUUGAAGACGACCAACCGGCGCCUAGCAUUUUGCCAACCGGGCCAACCAGAAGCGCGGGUGAAAAGGCGGAGGUGGAAUCCCCGCCAAGCAGGGGACAGUCCGUUCUCCCGGAAAAGGUAGGCCGUCCUGACUGGAACCCCGCGAACAGCGAAGGAUUCUUGGCCCGGAGCAGAAGUGCACGAACCCUUUCUUCCUUGCUCAGUGGGGGCUUCAGAGGGGCCAGGCUUACCCUUCAGCAGCCCCCUUCAGGUGUCUGGGCCCAGCCUUGGCUAUCAUGGCUCACAAGACUCUGGGCUCUUCAGCCUCACACGUCAGCUGCCUGGACCUGUGGAGGGAAAAGAAUGACCAGCUAGUUCGACAGGCCAAGGUUGCUGAGGACUCAAGUCUGACUCUGAGGCGACAGCAGUUGGCUCGGGAUGCACUGGAGGGGCUCAGGGGACUCCUCUGUAGUCUGCGGGGACUCCCCGCGACUGUUUCUGUUCUCCCUUUGGAACUGACUGUCAUCUGCAACUUUAUUACCCUGAGGGCAAACCUGGCCCAGGGUUUCACUGAGGACAUGGCACAGGAUAUCCAGCAGGGCCUAGAGAGAGUGCUGGAGACGCAGGGGCAGCCAGAAGCCAGGCCGGAACACGGGCUCAGGGGGCUGUGGGACUCCGCCCUCCGUGUUUCCUCCCUCCUGCCGGAGCUGCUCCCUGCCUUUCACCACCUUGCCGGCCUGCAGGCUGCCCUCUGGCUGACCACGAACCGUCUUGGGGACCUGACCUUGCUGCUGCAGACCCUGACUGUUAGCCAGAGCAGGGCCUCUGAGGAUGUGCUGCUGCUUCUGAAAACUUGGAGACCCCCAGCUGAGGAGUCAGAUGCUCCGCUGACCCUGCAGGAUGCCCGAGGCUUGAGGGAUGUCCUUCUGACAGCAUUUGCCUAUCGUCAAGGCCUCCAGGAGCUGAUCACAGGGAGCUUGCCCAAGGCACUGAGCAGCCUGCAUGAAGCGGCCUCAGGUCUGUGCCCACGGUCUCUGUUGGUCCAGGUGUACACAGCCCUGGGAACCUGUCUUCGUAAGAUGGGCAGUCCGCAGAGAGCUCUGCUCUACUUGGUUGCAGCCCUGAAGGAGGGAUCAACCUGGGGUCCCCCGCUUCUGGAGGCCUCCAGGCUAUAUCAGCAACUGGGGAACAUAGCAGCGGAGAUUGAGAGUCUGGAGCUGCUGGUUGAGGCUUUGAGUAUCACUCGUAUCCCUGAAGCCCAUCAGCUUCUUAUUGAGGUAGAGUUAUUACUCCCACGACCUGACCCAGCCUCACCCCUUCACUGUGGCACACAGAGCCAGGCCAAGUACCUGCUAGCAAGCCGAUGCCUACAGACAGGAAGGGCAGCGGACGCUGCAGAACAUUACCUGGACCUGCUCGCCCUGUUGCUGGAUGGCUCAGAGCUAAAGUUCUCCCCACCACCUUGCCCCCCAGGGCCCUGUAUGCCUGAGUUGUUUUUGGAGGCAGCAGCAGCGUUGAUCCAGGCAGGCCGAGCCCAGGAUGCUUUGACAGUAUGUGAGGAGCUGCUUAGCCGCACAUCAUUUCUGCUUCCCAAGAGGCCUCGGCUGUGGGAAGAUGCCAGAAGAAGAACCAAAGAGUCACCACACUCUUCACCCUGGGUCUCUGCUACCCAUCUGCUUCAGGGCCAAGCUUGGGUGCAACUGGGGGCCCAAAAGGAGGCAAUUAGUGAAUAUAGCCGGUGUCUUGAGCUGCUCUUCCGGGCCACACCUAAGGAUGAAGAACAAGGUCCCCAGGGCCUGCUUCCAGCUGUGAGCAGGGGUGUACAUCAGAUAUGGCACUACAACAGCUUCGGACAGCUGCCCUGAUUAGUCGUGGACUGGAAUGGGUGGCCCUUGGCCAGGAUACCAAAGCCCUACAGGACUUCCUUCUCAGUGUGCAGAUGUGUCCAGGUAAUCAAGAUGCUUCCUAUCACCUGCUUCAGACUCUGAGGAGGCUGGAUCGGAGAGAUGAGGCCACUGCUCUCUGGCGGAGGCUGGAGGCCCAAACUGAGUUGCUACUGGAGAAUACUGCAUGGUCCCUCCCCCUGUACUUAGAAACCUGUUUGGGCUGGAUCCGUCCCCCUGACCGUGAAACCCUUCGUGAGGAAUUUCAGACAUCUGGAGACUUGUGACCUGUAGCUGCCAUGUUUCAAAGAACCAGAACUGGGGCCUCAGUGGGCCAUCUGUGGGGAGGGCUUUCUGCUAUCCCAUCCUUGGGAAAUGUGGCUGGAGCUGACCAUUCCAGUAUAUGUCUGGCAUUGGAGAGGUUGGUGGUAGUCCUGCAAAAUUUGGUCUGGUUACUGCUAUUCUGAUUCCAGAGAAGCCCUGCUUCCACCAACAAGGCAUUGACUUGCUCAUAGCACCUUUUAUCCUGUUUCCCUUUUCAUGUGUUGAGUAAAAUUUCAUAUCUA